rnacentral:rRNA from 2 species
CUGGAGGUAUCAGAAGUGCGAAUGCUGACAUAAGUAACGAUAAAGCGGGUGAAAAGCCCGCUCGCCGGAAGACCAAGGGUUCCUGUCCAACGUUAAUCGGGGCAGGGUGAGUCGACCCCUAAGGCGAGGCCGAAAGGCGUAGUCGAUGGGAAACGGGUUAAUAUUCCCGUACUUGGUGUUACUGCGAAGGGGGGACGGAGAAGGCUAUGUUGGCCGGGCGACGGUUGUCCCGGUUUAAGCGUGUAGGUGUGUGUUCCAGGUAAAUCCGGUUCACUUUAACACUGAGGCGUGACGACGAGGCACUACGGUGCUGAAGCAACAAAUGCCCUGCUUCCAGGAAAAGCCUCUAAGCAUCAGGUAACAUCAAAUCGUACCCCAAACCGACACAGGUGGUCAGGUAGAGAAUACCAAGGCGCUUGAGAGAACUCGGGUGAAGGAACUAGGCAAAAUGGUGCCGUAACUUCGGGAGAAGGCACGCUGACACGUAGGUGAAGUGAUUUACUCAUGGAGCUGAAGUCAGUCGAAGAUACCAGCUGGCUGCAACUGUUUAUUAAAAACACAGCACUGUGCAAACACGAAAGUGGACGUAUACGGUGUGACGCCUGCCCGGUGCCGGAAGGUUAAUUGAUGGGGUCAGCGCAAGCGAAGCUCCUGAUCGAAGCCCCGGUAAACGGCGGCCGUAACUAUAACGGUCCUAAGGUAGCGAAAUUCCUUGUCGGGUAAGUUCCGACCUGCACGAAUGGCGUAAUGAUGGCCAGGCUGUCUCCACCCGAGACUCAGUGAAAUUGAACUCGCUGUGAAGAUGCAGUGUACCCGCGGCAAGACGGAAAGACCCCGUGAACCUUUACUAUAGCUUGACACUGAACAUUGAGCCUUGAUGUGUAGGAUAGGUGGGAGGCUUUGAAGUGUGGACGCCAGUCUGCAUGGAGCCGACCUUGAAAUACCACCCUUUAAUGUUUGAUGUUCUAACGUGGACCCGUAAUCCGGGUUGCGGACAGUGUCUGGUGGGUAGUUUGACUGGGGCGGUCUCCUCCUAAAGAGUAACGGAGGAGCACGAAGGUUGGCUAAUCCUGGUCGGACAUCAGGAGGUUAGUGCAAUGGCAUAAGCCAGCUUGACUGCGAGCGUGACGGCGCGAGCAGGUGCGAAAGCAGGUCAUAGUGAUCCGGUGGUUCUGAAUGGAAGGGCCAUCGCUCAACGGAUAAAAGGUACUCCGGGGAUAACAGGCUGAUACCGCCCAAGAGUUCAUAUCGACGGCGGUGUUUGGCACCUCGAUGUCGGCUCAUCACAUCCUGGGGCUGAAGUAGGUCCCAAGGGUAUGGCUGUUCGCCAUUUAAAGUGGUACGCGAGCUGGGUUUAGAACGUCGUGAGACAGUUCGGUCCCUAUCUGCCGUGGGCGCUGGAGAACUGAGGGGGGCUGCUCCUAGUACGAGAGGACCGGAGUGGACGCAUCACUGGUGUUCGGGUUGUCAUGCCAAUGGCACUGCCCGGUAGCUAAAUGCGGAAGAGAUAAGUGCUGAAAGCAUCUAAGCACGAAACUUGCCCCGAGAUGAGUUCUCCCUGAGACUUAGAGUCUCCUGAAGGAACGUUGAAGACGACGACGUUGAUAGGCCGGGUGUGUAAGCGCAGCGAUGCGUUGAGCUAACCGGUACUAAUGAACCGUGAGGCUUAACCUUACA